GCUCUUGUGGAUCAGUUGGGGAUCACCCAUGCUACUUGUGGCGGUACACAAUGGUGUCUACGGAAGACGUGGGUUCGAAUCCCGCCAAGGGCA